rnacentral:rRNA from 1 species
AUACGGAGGGUCCAAGCGUUAUCCGGAUUCAUUGGGUUUAAAGGGUGCGCAGGCGGGCUUGUAAGUCAGUGGUGAAAUACUGCCGCUUAACGGUAGAACUGCCAUUGAUACUGCAAGCCUUGAAUAUGAUUGAGGUAGGCGGAAUGUGUUGUGUAGCGGUGAAAUGCAUAGAUAUGACACAGAACGCCAAUUGCGAAGGCAGCUUACUAAGCCAUUAUUGACGCUGAGGCACGAAAGCGUGGGGAGCGAACAGGAUUAGAAACCCCAGUAGUCC